rnacentral:rRNA from 1 species
AUGCCCGCCACAAGGCCGAGGAUGAUGUCUCACCGGCUUGUCCUGUCCGUGGCCAUCGUCGCCGUAGCCGCCCUGCUGGUGCACCACGCCGCGGGAUACCCGUGGCAGGUUUGCGGCGACGACCAAUUCGCGGCCGGCAGCAAGUACCUGGCCAACAUCAACCUCCUCGCCGCCUCGCUCCCCAAGAACGCCUCGGCGUCCCCAGACCUCUUCGCCACCGCCGAGGCCGGCGCGGCCCCGGACAAGGUCUGGGGCCUCGCGCUCUGCCGCGGCGACGCCAACGCCACGUCCUGCCUCAGCUGCCUCGCCCAGGCCUUCCGGGACCUGCCCAACGUGUGCGACUACAGCAAAGUGGCCACCAUGUACUACGACUCUUGCACGCUCCACUACUCCAACGCCUCCCAGGACCCCGCGCCGGUGGCGGCGCUGACGUAUAGGUUCUGGGAGUACACGAAUGUCACGUCGGAGAAGGGACAGUUCAACCGCCUCGUGGCCAGGCUCGUGAACGCCACCGCAGACUACGCCGCGUACAACUCCACGCGCCGGUACGCCUCCGGUGAGGCCGACUUCGACCUGGAGUUCCCCAAGAUCUACAGCUGGGCGCAGUGCACGCCCGACCUCACCGCGCCGCAGUGCUGGCGGUGCCUCGCCAAGAUCAUGGUGUUGUUGCCGGAGGUGUUCGUGGACAGUACAGGAGCCAGAGCUCUUCAGGUCAGGUGCAGCUUCCGGUACCAGACCUAUUCCUUCUUUGAUGGCCCUGUCAUGGUGCGCCUGCCAGCACCAGCACCGAGCACCCAAGCACCGGCGCCUGCUCCUGCGCCUGUUGCGGUACCCACGGGUUUGACGCCGGCGCCGGCGACGGCAUCCACACAAGGGAGAAAAUACAGUGUCCCUGGCAUGGUUCUUAUUAUUCUGCUGCCUACUCUAGCUGCCAUAAACUUUGUGGCUUGCUUCUUUUUCUGGAGAAGGAAGCGGCCACUACCAAAAACAAAACAGUCAGAUCCCAGUUAUUUCGCCGACGAGGAGGACAAUCAAAGUGUAGACUCGAUGUUGAUUGACAUUUCAACCUUGCGGGUUGCAACCGGGGAUUUUGCAGAUAGCAACAAGCUUGGUGAUGGCGGAUUUGGUGCGGUGUACAAGGGUAUUCUUCCAGACGGCGAUGAAAUAGCAGUGAAGAGACUAUCGAAGAGCUCAACACAAGGAGUUGAGGAGCUCAAAAAUGAACUCUCUUUGGUUGCAAAGCUUAGGCACAAGAACCUUGUAACACUUCUUGGCGUCUGCUUGGAGCAACAAGUGAGGUUGCUUGUCUACGAGUUUGUUCCUAACUGA